CAGCCGCCACGGGAAUACGUAGGUGGCAAGCGUUGUCCGGAAUUAUUGGGCGUAAAGGGCUCGCAGGCGGUUUCUUAAGUCUGAUGUGAAAGCCCCCCGGCUCAACCGGGGAGGGUCAUUGGAAACUGGGAAACUUGAGUGCAGAAGAGGAGAGUGGAAUUCCACGUGUAGCGGUGAAAUGCGUAGAGAUGUGGAGGAACACCAGUGGCGAAGGCGACUCUCUGGUCUGUAACUGACGCUGAGGAGCGAAAGCGUGGGGAGCGAACAGGAUUAGAUACCCCCGUAGUCCCUGUCUCUUAUA
rnacentral:rRNA from 1 species